UUCAGUCGUCUCAUGUCGUACCGAUAACAUGGAUCGCGUUGCGUCAGGUUAUUGAUCGAUAGCAGGGAUAAUAUAGAAGUAACAGAAAUAUCAAUAUAUGGACGCAACGACGAUUAAUGAUGGAUCCGAUGAAUCUUCAUGAAAGUUUGACAUAUCACAGCUUGGACUUCUUUACCUUCUUUGGGAAUGCUCCAACGAUGGCUCAAAAGCCAAGAAUAUUUUUCACAACCUCCAUUUCCACCAUUGGAUUUUCAACGGUUCCUGCCUGAUGUUAGUCUUUCUAAUGAUAUUUGCUGAGAUAGUGCAGUAUCGACGGCAACGUUUUCCGUUUCUUUAAUGGCGAGUCGCAUGCAUUUUUGUUCCUCCGGUCACUCAAUCAUGUCGUAGGAUAAAAGGUCCGAAUCGGCACGGGUGACUGGUUGUAUUAUGUAGAAUUUUUUGCGAGCAUAGUGACCGCGGGUAUUUUUUAUACCCGUGAGUAUUUUUUCAUAUCUAUUUAUUAGUUCAGGAUAGGAUUAUGAUAAUUAAUUUUUUAAUAAUUAGUUUAAACGUAUAAAUUUGAGAAUAUAUUCGUGGUACUUAUAAAUAUGUAUAAUAGUAUUCGGUAUAAAUAUUUGCAAAAGGCAAAUAUCUAGACGAAUAUACCUGUAUGACAAAUAUAUUUAAUCUUAAGCAAUGAAUUUUGGUAUAAAUAAGAAGUAUCAAAGCCAUUUCGUUUGAACAUUUUAUAGCGGAGAAAUCGGAUGCCCUCCGAUUUUGUUGAAAGAUGCAAUUUUCACUCAAAGAUAAUGACGAUACAUACAAUAUACGGUACAAUAAAUAAUCUUCAAUUUAAUUUUCUCUUUUGUGACAAUAUUAAGUCACAUUCUUUUAUAUGACUUCAGAUAUUAUAAACAUCAGUAGAAUUUAAAAUAUGAAUUAAAAUUUAUUUUUUGUCCGUACAAGAAUGUGCGAAAUUUUAUGUGCAAGAAGAAACUUCACUGCAGGUCGAUUUUUGAAUCGAAGCAAUAAUUUUGAACACUGCCUAUGCAUUUUCGGAAAUAUGCUUUGACAAAGAGAUUGCCUGAGAUUAUUUCUAUUUUGGUAAUACAUUUAAAGUCAAUUAUUCCAUUUCAUCAAGUCUUAGACUUUUUCCUAUUAAUGCUACUUUUUUGAUAAUAUUCAAAUUUCAGUAAUUUAUUAAAUUAAUAAAAUAGAGUUAUCAUAAUCCGAAACGAAGUAAUAAAAUAUAAAAUCAAAGAACGUUGGUCCGUUAAAUACAAAUUAGACGAACUAAUCAUGCUUUUACAUCAGGAUUUUCAGAUUUAACCCUUUCCAUGCCCAUUGUCAGGAUCUCAUUCACGUGCCCAGGUGCUACUUUAAUGGGAAAAAGACAUUGGGCACAAUGAUCAUAUUUAAUGUAAUAAUUUCUCAGUGACUGACGAUGUGUUAGUGUAUAGUGCACGACGUAUUUUUCACAUUGUGUGUGUGUGGUUAGGCUGUGGAAUUGAGUCGUUUUUCUCAUUCGCUACAACUUAAGAUAUUAAAAAUCUUGAGACAUAUAUUAAUUCAACUUAUGUAUCAAUACAAUCGCAAUUCGUGGUAAUAUAAGCUACACGAUUAAGUGUAACCACGCUGUUAAUAUUGCUGUAAAUUACAAAUAUAAUUCCAAAUUUACUUACAUUUAUUUUGACGAUAUAAUUUCUUUAGACGUGUUUUAUCACGUUUUGCGCAAUGCUCACUAGCCUUCGUCAGUCGAUUUCAGGAAAAUGGUACACAAAUUAGAUUGUGCAUGUUGUGUGUUAAGCUCAGGUGUCGGAGGCGUCCUGGGACGUUCUCUCUAGUGUAGACUCUUGCGCUCGGGUGUUAUAUGUGAGAACCGUGGAGCGAGUGUGUUGGUAUGCUUGUUUUGCCAUUUUUUAAAUAUAACGCUAGAUAGGAUAGGUAGUAUACUUUCUGGUGUAUCUGUUAAUUAUAAGUAGGUAGGACCGGGUAGGUUGGCACAGUCUUUGGUCGGGUAGGCGCGUUUUCGAGUGACCAACCUGUUUCAGGGAAUUUCAUUCGAAUAAUCGACGGUAAAGUUGGCACGAAUGGAACAUGUCAUCGAAAGUCUCGAGCUUAGAUGUGAGUUUCAGCGGGCAUUGCGUUCGAAGAAAGAAGAGGCUACGAGCCGAAGAGGCCCGGCAAACUGCCAUGGAAGUGGGCAACUACCCUCGAUCCUUUGGAUCAUCCAGAAGCAUGGGAAGUCAUUCUUGUUACUACUUUGUCAUUAUGCUCUCUUUUAGUAUUUGUAGUAGUAGUAGUUCUUUUUUUGGCCGAUGUAUAUAAUAAAUAGUGA